AAAGAAAUCUUCUGGGGCUCUUGUUAAAAUACAAAUUCAGACUCAGGAGGUCUGGCAUAGAACCUAGUCUGCAUUUCUGAUAAGUUCCCAGGUGAUGAUGAU
rnacentral:pre_miRNA from 1 species